AAUAUAAUAAUAAUGCUUUUAUUAUUGCCUCUAGGGCAUAUUUCCAACAAAAAAGAUGUAUUACGAUCUCCAUGCAUCAACCAGUUUGCUCUUCCUCUCUGUAGCCAAAAAAUUUCCUCUUGAUCUAACAAAUUCUCGAUGAGAACAAGGGCUUCCUUCUGGCGAGAGCGAGAUUCCGCAUUCAUUGAUCCCCGCCUCAACUUUUCCAGCUCUUUUUUUAAUUUACUUAUCCUUCUCUUUGGUCCUUUUAGAGUCUCUCGGUCCCGGGUGUGUAAAUCAGCCUGCACUGCAUGUGUACGUGCCGCAAGAGACGGAUCAACACCCGCUAGUUUGGCCUUUUCCCAUGCUGUUCGCACAAUUUCUCCCACCAUCUCUUCCUUAAGCCAUCUAGCCUCAAAUUGCUUCACACAGAUUUUUGGGCUAUUGAAAAUAUUCUCACCAUAAUAUUCUGUGUCAAGGAUUAAGGGACGAUGAUCAGAAUGCACAUGCUCCUCAUUGAUGAUGCCCGCCUUUGGGAACUUAUUUGACCAUUCAACAUUGCAUACAACCCUAUCAAGUCUCUCCCUAAUCUCCCCUCUCCUCCAAGUGAAACAGUCGCGGACAUAUCCCAGAUCAUAUAACCCACAAUCUCCCAAACAAUUCUGAAAUUCUUGCAUCAUUGCAUUUGGUCUUGGGUUACCUCCAUCCUUUUCAUGAGAAUACAUAACUUCAUUAAAAUCACCAAGAACAACCCACGGAGGCAUUAGAAUGUAAAGUGCGUAGGUCGGACCAAGAUAAAUGUUUUUCGUUCCAGGCCGGAUGACCAUAAAACUGCGUAAAGCACCAAUCCACAUUAUUCUCAUUCAUAAAUAUUACAUCAAUAAAAUACGAAGACAAGUAGUUCAAUUCAACUUUAUUCUCGUUUUGAUAAUAUAAUACAAGACCACCAGCCUUACCAUCACUCUCUGAUAAAAACAUGAAAUUAAAACCUAAUUUACAACAUAGCUCGUCAGCCUUUAUUUUAUUUAAAUGCGAUUUAGAUAGAAAAACUAUCUUUGGGUUCACCCGUCCUUGGAGCUCCAUGAGCUCAUAAACUGCCGUGGGGGAGAGCAUACCACGGCAGUUCCAUCAUAGGAUUUUCAUUUGGCCCGGCGGACCUCCUCCUCAAAGGCUGCCGAUGCGCCAGUUUCUUCCUUCUCUUCACCAACUGACUCCUCUCUCUGUUGCACAUACUCCUCCUCCUUCUCUUCUAACUCCUUCGCGACAUGUGUCACAACACCAUAAACAUCCUUCACUCUUUCUACUCUACCAGUACACACUCGUUUCGAAGAAACACUCACGUCGCCAUAUAGUAAAUGCUCAUAACUAUCCAUCUCUUUCUCAAAAGAAAACUCCAAGUCACUUCCUGUGCAUGGAGCGUCGUGUAUGUGUUCUCUUUUUUUACCUAUUACUAUCCUACGAGCAUCUUCCGCGCUCUCACACCUUCCCUUUUUCUCUUUCUUCCCCAUCCUCUUUAGCUGGCCUUGCCUAUGAUUCUUAUUAGCACUAAAUUUCAACAACACAUUUUCAUCCGUAGCGUCAACCGCCACCACAAAUGCUGAGAGCCUCGCAGCAACAGCCCCCGGCAGGGCCUCCAGCACACCUGGCAGGAGGCCCGCCCGUGAGCCCUUGGCCCUCCUGGUCAGCGGUUUUCUGCCGGUGAACAGCAGCUGGUACAGCAGACUUGGAGGUGCUGAAACCCCCUGGCUGCAUCCCCUCCUGACCAAACAUCACACCCGAUUGGGUGAGCAUCAGGGACGCCAGCCCUUGGCCCUCCUGGCCAAGGCCAGUAGAUGCCUUCGGCGCUGCAACCCGGCCCUCCUGACCGAGCGCAGCACCGACAAGAGUCGAUGAAGGAGCCUCCGACGCCCGGCCCUCCUGGCUGAGCGGGAAACUAGGCUGGGCCGCCUUUGGCACUGCAGCCCGGCCCUCCUGACCGAGCGCAGCACCGAUAGGAGUCGAUGAAGGAGCCUCCGAAGCCCGGCAUUUCCUAAACGGCGCCCUCUGCGCCCGUUACCGUUGUAUGUGCAAUCGGGCGCACACCCACGUUUCGCACCUGGGCCGACCCGCCUUACUCUUUUCUUCCCUUUUUUGUAAAAUGUUUCAAAAAUAGUGCAAAGAGGAGAUUCGAACCCUCCACCAAACAUGUUCCGUACAAUACGCCAACCACGCUAACCAACAGGGACCGCGUCCAUUUUAUGAUUAAUAGCAUCUUUUAUUGUUCUUCAAUUAACUGACGUGAUUCUGUUUGUUUUGGCCAGUUUUCUUCUGUUUUUUUCUUUUUUCAAUUUCGCGAACUUUUCUCGAGUUCACGAACAUUUUUUGUGAAUCUUUUUUCAAAUCCGAUGAACUUUUUUUGAAAAUCAAUGAACUCCUUUCAAAAUGUGAUGAACUUUUUUUGAAAUGGAUCAACUUUUUUCCAAAUUGAUGAACUUUUUUUUGUGAACCUUUUCUGAAUUCGUGAACUUUUUUCACCAUCGAUGAACUUUUUGCAAAUCCGAUGAACUUUUUGUCAGAAUCAACGAGCUUUUUAAAAUUUUGAUGAACUUUUUAAAAUUCAAUAAACUUUUUUUAAAAUUCAAUGAACUUUUUCUUUAAAUUUGAUGAACUUUUUUCAAAUUCAAUGAACUUUUUUCAAAUUCAAUGAACUAUUUUCAAUUUUGAUGAACUUUUUUCAAAUUCGAUGAACUAUUUUUCAAUUUUGUGAACUUUUUUCUAUACGGAUGAACCUUUUUCCACAUCAAUGAACUUUUUUCAAUCUGCACUAUUUAUGAGUUCUUUUUCGGAAUUUGUAUUUAAAAAAAUCUAUACAGCAUAUAUAUGUUAUCUGCAGUAUUGAAUGGGUUAAAUAGUACAGAUUCCUGGUAGCAAACAAAACGUCGUGUCUGGUCUACUGGCUGCCAUGGCGGAGUAUUACUCUAUGGGUGGCGGGUUCGAUUCCUCGUGUGCACGGAAUUUUUUGUUUGCGUUUGUUUUUCCAGCAAGGGUUAAAUAGUACAGAUUCCUCGUGGUGGGCCGGCCCGCUAGGCACCGCGCGUGCGCGCCGGUUUACCUCGGCGGCGCUUAAAGCGCCAGUUAGGAGCUCCCCCGAAGCCCGGCCCUCCUGGCCGAGCGGGAAACUAGGCUGGGCCGCCUUUGGCGCUACAUUCUCGUCCUUGUCGGAUACAGUGAGCACACUCGCCGCCUUAGCCACUCUGACGACGACACCCUCCAUAGCCUUUGAUUUGUUUUUGUUGUCGGGUGCGAUGAACGAAGACUGCUCACCUCUAGGUAAACCUCGUAAGAUAACCUCUCUCUUGUGUGACCUUUGACCCUUCCAGUAAGCAUCUACACUAAGAUUUUCUUGGGUAGAUAGCUACACUCUUUUCUUUUGGAAUACUACAAAAACGCUCGGAAGUAUGACCUAUAAGCCCACAACACUCACAAUAUUGAGGUAGUUUUUCAUACUGGACAUCAUAUCUAAUUUUCUUGGAGCUUCCUAACGGGGUGAACUCUAUAAUGCUCUUGAGCGGCUUGUGCAGCAAGAUACCCACACGCACUCGCAAGAAUUUUUCAACUAUGACAUGAUUACGGUGCGACACAUCCACCACUUCCCCCAACUGAUCCCCAAAAGUCCAUCCCAUACUCUCCGCCUUGAGCUCGAAAGAGACAUCACGAACCUGGGCCCAAAUGGGCAUGAACCCAAGAUCGAUCUCCGGGUCGAAUUCGCCCCUACCGUCGAACUCGGCGAAGAUGAUGCCGUCCCAAUUAUAGUGCCAUGGUUGUGCCUUGAGCACAAACCGUCGAUCCCCCUCAGAAGAGAAAUUGAGGACAAAGCGUCCGUCCUCGCUGGCCACCUCUUGGACGGUGGCCGUACCCUGAAGCCGCCACGCCCCGGAGUUUCGGAGCUCGUCAACGAUGGCCCGAGGGUUCAUCUAGAAAGGUGCCAAGAAGCGUCCAACUACCAGGAAGCCAAAGACGGCCCUCCUAGCAGCCUCCAUGUCGAUGACAAGAGGAGGAGCCUCACCUCGGAAGCGUCUCAUAGCCAACUUCCCCUUGUGCUCCGCCACCGUACGGCCAAGAAGGGGGUCGUCCCCCCUGGCCGUCACACGAGUCCUCACCACCGCCGCCGAUUCCAUCUCUUCUCCAGUACUCACCACCCCCUGUGUAUCUCUCUCCCCACAAACCCCCUUAGCAGCACUCUUGUUCUCCAUGGGACACGCUAUCUGAACAAAGGAGAGAAGACCCGAGCCCCUCUCUGCUACUGCUUCCUGUGAAGAACAAAGGCACGACCUCCUAAGGAAGAAAUAGCCCUCUUCCAUGUCUAUUGCUAAGGAUGCGAGCUACGAGUCUGAGAGUGAAAUGAUGGACAACGAAGAAGACAAAGUAAUAAUGAUAGUUGCGGAAUACUCCCUCCGUUCCUAAAUACUUGUCUUUCUAGGCAUUUCAAUAAAUGACUACAUACGAAGCAAAAUGAGUGAAUCUACACUCUAAAACAUGUCUACAUACAUCCGUAUGUAGUAGUCAUUUGAAAUGUCUAGAAAGACAAAUAUUUAGAAACGGAGGGAGUAGAUAGCAACAACAGAAAGGAAAAGAAAGCGUCCAAAAUCAUAGGUUGGUCAUGCAACAUUCAGCCGGAACAGAUACGUUAGCCACGAGCGUCUCAUGUAUGACUACUUUGUUGGGUUGUACCUUCCCACCUUAUAUAUUUCGGCAAUGCUCCCGCAUGAACAAAGGUUGUUAUGUUGAAUUGGCCACAA